UACGUAGGGUGCGAGCGUUAAUCGGAAUUACUGGGCGUAAAGCGUGCGCAGGCGGUUUUGUAAGCCAGAUGUGAAAUCCCCGGGCUCAACCUGGGAAUGGCAUUUGGGACUACAAGGCUAGAGUGUGGCAGAGGAGACUGGAAUUCCUGGUGUAUCAGUGAAAUGUGUAGAUAUCAGGAGGAAUACCGAUGGCGAAGGCAGCCCCCUGGGCUGACACUGACGCUCAGGCACGAAAGCGUGGGGAGCAAACGGG
rnacentral:rRNA from 1 species